rnacentral:rRNA from 1 species
CCUACGGGUGGCAGCAGUGAGGAAUAUUGGUCAAUGGACGAGAGUCUGAACCAGCCAAGUAGCGUGAAGGAUGACUGCCCUCUGGGUUGUAAACUUCUUUUAUAAAGGAAUAAAACGAGGCUAGUGUGCCUUUUUGCACGUACUUUAUGAAUAAGGAUCGGCUAACUCCGCGCCAGCAGCCGCGGUAAUACGGAGGGUCCGAGCGUUACCCGGAUUUAAUGGGUUUAAAGGGAGCGUAGAUGGGUUGUUAAGUUCGUUGUGAAAGUUGGCGGCUCAACCGUAGAAUUGCAAUUGAUACUGGCAGUCUUGAGUACAGUUGAGGUAAGCGGAAUUCGAGGUGUAGCGGUGAAAUGCUUAGAUAUCACGAAGAACCCCGAUGGCGAAGGCAGCUUACUAAACUGUGACUGACAUUGAUGCUCGAAAGUGUGGGUAUCAAACAGGAUUAGAUACCCCGGUAGUC